rnacentral:rRNA from 1 species
ACGUAGGGAGCAAGCGUUGUCCGGAAUUACUGGGUGUAAAGGGAGCGUAGGCGGGAAGGCAAGUCAGCUGUGAAGUACCUGGGCUUAACCCAUGAACUGCAGUUGAAACUGUUUUUCUUGAGUGCAGUAGAGGCAGGCGGAAUUCCCGGUGUAGCGGUGAAAUGCGUAGAUAUUCGGAGGAACACCAGUGGCGAAGGCGGCCUGCUGGACUUUAACUGACGCUGAGGCUCGAAAGUGUGGGGAGCAAACAG